GAUGGGUGAGCACUCUUCUAGGGGAGGAGUUUUGCAUGAUCUUCAGCAGAACAAAGUAUCAUCAAUUUUAAAGCACUUUGCGCUUAUUUCGGGCCUGCUGAUUGAGCCCUCUUUGUGCUUUUUUUGAGAGAUUUAUAUUCUCGUAGCAUAUCUGGGGAGUGCCAAUAUAAUCCAUGCUGAAUACACUGAAGGUGUUGCGAAAUUCCAAUCUCUUUGACUCUGCAUGCUGUUGUUUUAGUAAAUAAUCAACAGGAGACUUGGCUGGCUUGGACUUGGAAUUCUUGCUGCCUGAGUUCUGUACAAGAGGCAGAGAUGGGAGAUGAUUCUUCUUCUUCAUCAUUGUGCUGAGUCAGCAGGCUAUACACACUCUACUCAUCGUUUAUAAGUCACCUUGGUAUCUGUCGAACAGACGUGAGGCCAUCAGCAUUUGCCAUCUUGGUCGCUAUCCAUGGUCACUUAUGAAGAAAAAAUGUUGAGCGAAGAGGCAGCUCUCCAGUUUCAAUUUGGCACCGGCAAGAAAUCUUUAUCAGGAUUUUCACUGAUGUUUUCAUAACUGAAGCUUUGUUUGGGUAAAGUCCGUGAUCGCUGUCUGAGAGUUCCAUUCGCCCAUUUAACCAAAAGAUUUGACCAAAUACAAGAAACAGCACAACACUACAGAGCAAAAACUUAAGAUACAAGCACUAUAUGGUAGCAUUGAGCUCCAGUCAUGCAGGACGCCACACGAGACCUACAGUAACUUUAUGGAGAAUCAAAGGACCAACUGCACGCAUUUUGCUUUUUCUUUGUCUUUUUGCGACGUCUUUCAAAUAAAAAAGCGAAAAAAUAGUAAAUGUGAUAAUAAUAUGAACACAGCGGCACGGUGGACGACUGGUUAGCACAUCUGCCUCACAGUUCUGGGGACCGGGGUUCAAAUCCCGGCCCGCCUGUGUGGAGUGUGCAUGUUCUCCCCGUGCCUGCGUGGGUUUUCUUCGGGUACUCCGGUUUCUUUCCGCAUCCCAAAGACAUGCAGGCUAGGUUAAUUGAAUACUCUAAAUUGCCCGUAGGUGUGAGAGCGAAUGGUUGUUUGUUUCUAUGUGCCCUGCGAUUGGCUGGCAAACGGUUCAGGGUGUACCCCGCUUCUCGCUCGAAGAUUGCUGGGUUAGGGUUAGGGUUAGGUCUCCAGCCCGCCCGCGACCCUUGUGAGGAUAAGCGGAACGGUAGAUGAAUGAAUGAAUAAUAUGAACACGUCGUCAUGUGAAGUAAGAAGACUCACUUUCAAUACAUUAAGACUUCAGCAUCACUGUGCACAUUGGAACUUGUGACAAAAAUUACGACAGAC